CAAUAGACGUCACUUGAUGGCGCAGUCUCUAUUGCCCGUGUUCUCUGACUACUGUGUGUGCAAAGAGUUUCCGGUGUCGCGCGCUUUAACUCUUUUAACAUUGACGUGAAAUAAUAACACGAACGAGAACGGUGGAUCCUUUAAUUGUCACAUAAGAAAUAGGAAAACCGUGCUUAGUGAAGAGGUUGGCGUGUGUGUUUUUAUGUUGCCCAGCAGGUGUGGUUUGCGGUGCCCUGCUGGUGUGUGGUGUAGCCCAGUAGGCUCUGUCGUAUGUAUCAUGCCUGGUAAAGAAGUACAUAGAGAUAUAAAGAGAUGAAGGAAGUUAAAAGAAUUCAGAAGGCCUUCACGCAGCAGCCCUGGCGGCAGGCAGCGGCGGAGGCUUCAUUGGUGUCAAGAUGUCCUCAAUCUGCUCCUGGGUCAUCCUCUGUCUUAGUCUGAGACCACGUGACGGAAGAUGGUUUAGGAAGCAGCGUAAUCUCUUCUUUCCUUAUGAAGAUUCAGCAGUGGUCGACGGUGAUCAGGAAAUUAGGAAAUCCUCAAGUUUGACGUGAUGGAGAAAACGAGUACUCAUGUUAUAUGAGAUAAUGAUCAAGAGAGAAUAAAAUAAUUUAAAGACAAGUAAUCGAAAUCUAAGUAUUCGAAAAAAAGUGCAAUACUUCAAAGAAACAAUAAAAUAAGUUUGAGAAAAUGAUUGAUCAUGCUGCUUACGAUAAAGAUCCAGAGUGAAUACAUUAAUUUAAAGAUAAAUCAUGGAAAUCCAAUCCUUCAUAAAAGAAAAGAAAUAUAAUGUCGAGAGACAAGAAAAUAAUUAAAUGUGAUGAGGAAAAGGAGUGAUUUUUUUUUUUUUAUGUAUAUAAGACACAAAUCAAGAGUUAGUGUCGUAAUUUGAAGACACAAGACCAAAAACUUCAAUUCUUUAUUCAGAGAUGUGCAACAAAGAAACAAAAUAAAGUUAUAAAAACAACAACAACAACAACGAUAUAAAAAUAGAUUGAGUGAACAAUGUAAUUUGAGGACCAGUGAUCGAAAUUAAAUUCUUUCCAAGGAAAAAAACACUACAAUUCUUUAUUAUCAAGAGGCACAAAAAAAAACAACACCCGUUACUUCUCGAGACCAUAAAAAGUGAUUAAUCGCCUCUAAGAAACCUGACACAAGUGGCCGCAGGAGGAGAAUAGGCGAGUCGUGUGGAGCCUUUGAAAGAAGACCUUGACACCCUCUUGGGAAGUAGGGUGAGGAAAGCCUGUAUUGGAGUGUUGCCUGGAUGUCACCCUACACUCCACCCUGUUCUGCUCUCUGAAUCACACAGAAUUUAAGUGCCAGAAUCCACAAAACCAGGAAGAAUAUUAGCACUCCACCUUGUUCAGUGUUCUCAGAUUCACACUAGGAACGUAACAACCAGAACCCCAUGGAACUAGAGCAAAUAUUACCAUAAUCACCACAGCCUCAGUUUUUCUCUCUGCCACCACCAUCACCACCACAAUUGCCAUCGUCUCUGCUACCACUACCAUCGUCAUCAUCCUCCACCAUCACAUCCUCGCUGUCCUUCGUGUAAGCUCAGUGCGCCGCCACCACCACCACCACCACCACCACCACCACCACCACCACCACCACAUCCUCACACCCUUUACCUUUAAGUCCAUUACGGGAGCUCACCAGGAUC